CCUACGGGCGGCAGCAGUGAGGAAUAUUGGUCAAUGGACGCAAGUCUGAACCAGCCAUGCCGCGUGCAGGAAGACGGCUCUAUGAGUUGUAAACUGCUUUUGUACGAGGGUAAACGCAGAUACGCGUAUCUGUCUGAAAGUAUCGUACGAAUAAGGAUCGGCUAACUCCGUUCCAGCCGCCGCGGUAAUACGGAGGAUUCAAGCGUUAUCCGGAUUUAUUGGGUUUAAAGGGUGCGUAGGCGGUCGGAUAAGUUAGAGGUGAAAUCCCGAGGCUCAACUUCGGAAUUGCCUCUGAUACUGUUCGGCUAGAGAGUAGUUGCGGUAGGCGGAAUGUAUGGUGUAGCGGUGAAAUGCUUAGAGAUCAUACAGAACACCGAUUGCGAAGGCAGCUUACCAAGCUACUUCUGACGUUGAGGCACGAAAGCGUGGGGAGCAAACAGGAUUAGAUACCCCAGUAGUC
rnacentral:rRNA from 1 species